CGUGCCGUGUGCAGCCAUUGGAGGGGGUUUCCUGCACGCGUGAUUGAGGUGGAGGUCACAGUUGGAAACACCAUCCAUCACGCUCCACAAACCCCACCUUCUCCUGCUGCCACCCUUUCAUCUUUCAGCCAUUGGAUCAACAUGUCACAUCUUUUUUUCAUUCAAAGGGUAAACUCGGUUAAUGUUUUCUUUCAAAAUUCUAACCCUUUAAUAUUGAGCCUGAUUCAGGAUCUACUAUUAAACAUCAUUUAAUCCUCAACAAACAUCUCCUGGACCUCCUGGUUUCAUUAAACAUUCACUGUUUGAGGGCAUGAGGAGACAAGAAUUGCCAAAUGGCAACAGCAGAAGGAGCCUGCGUCUGCACCACCGCUCUAAGCCUUACUUCACAAAACCGCCCAAAGAUGACAGGAGAAAGAGGGAGAAAGAAGAUUAUUCAAGCGGGAGGAAAAUCCCACACAGAUACAUUAAGAAUAGCAUGGCAUUAAGGGACUGCAGCAGAGGAAAAUGUGCCCCAAGUAGGCGCUGGUGCUCAACAGUGGUGGAGACAGGUGUUUUCCAUCUCGGUGAUUGAGUCCUGGAGUACUUAAGCAGGAAGCAGCCAGCAUCUCGUCGCUCGAGUAUUAGCCUCUGUGUGAACUGAACCGGCGACUACCUGGAGGUUAUCCAGGCUGGCCUCGGUGGCUUCGUUCAAACACUAAUUACGUUUUCAAGGACCUUCCAAGGAUUAUACUCCAGGAUUAUCAAACUUGUACCCGUUUCACUUGAGCGUGAUUCUGCAUGUGGGUCAGAGCCAUACGUAACACUAUGACAUCCCUGAAUUUAGUGGCAAUGAGUGAGUUUUAUUGACGCUCUCAUAUGACGAGACUUGACUCAUAAUUUGCAGGUGAGUAGUACUGUUUAGAUUACAGCAAAUCAGUGCACCUGAGCACAUCCGCCAUCUCACCUUGUAUUCACCCCUAACGCUCAACUGGACACAGAAAACAUCGAGUUGUGGCUUUUAGAUUUAUUAAAGUGCAGCUCCUAUUAUGUGCAGCGUGACUGAAAUUCUGCUGAUGACGGAGAAUAGAUGGCACCACUUUAUGUGUUAUGAAAAAGUAGGACACAGUCCAUUGCAGAGGGAUAACAUUUGCAGCAUGGCAUUUUCUCUUGUAGUCACUUUAAGUCCAGUUUGAUUUUGUAAAAUAAAAAACAUCUGAUAGUGUAA